AGCUGGCGGCGUGCCUAUCAUGCAACUCGAGCGAAUGGAUUAAGAGCUUGCUCUUAUGAAGUUAGCGGCGGACGGGUGAGUAACACGUGGGUAACCUGCCCAUAAGACUGGGAUAACUCCGGGAAACCGGGGCUAAUACCGGAUAACAUUUUGAACCGCAUGGUUCGAAAUUGAAAGGCGGCUUCGGCUGUCACUUAUGGAUGGACCCGCGUCGCAUUAGCUAGUUGGUGAGGUAACGGCUCACCAAGGCAACGAUGCGUAGCCGACCUGAGAGGGUGAUCGGCCACACUGGGACUGAGACACGGCCCAGACUCCUACGGGAGGCAGCAGUAGGGAAUCUUCCGCAAUGGACGAAAGUCUGACGGAGCAACGCCGCGUGAGUGAUGAAGGCUUUCGGGUCGUAAAACUCUGUUGUUAGGGAAGAACAAGUGCUAGUUGAAUAAGCUGGCACCUUGACGGUACCUAACCAGAAAGCCACGGCUAACUACGUGCCAGCAGCCGCGGUAAUACGUAGGUGGCAAGCGUUAUCCGGAAUUAUUGGGCGUAAAGCGCGCGCAGGUGGUUUCUUAAGUCUGAUGUGAAAGCCCACGGCUCAACCGUGGAGGGUCAUUGGAAACUGGGAGACUUGAGUGCAGAAGAGGAAAGUGGAAUUCCAUGUGUAGCGGUGAAAUGCGUAGAGAUAUGGAGAACACCAGUGGCGAAGGCGACUUUCUGGUCUGUAACUGAC
rnacentral:rRNA from 1 species